rnacentral:lncRNA from 1 species
AAGGAAUGUUUCAUAACUUUCAUUAACCAAAGAUAAAAAGCAUGCUACAUAACAGCUGUGUGUCUCAGUUUCCUCAUCUCUAAAAUGAAAAUUUUAAAGCUAUGUCCUUCAUAAGUUGGAGAAGGAAUUCCAAAUGGAUAAAUCUAGAACAUGGUAAGCACGCAGAAGAUGAUGCAAAAGGAAACAAGUGGCUAAAAUCAGAGUGAAUAGUCUUCCCAGGAAAAGCUAGCCUUCCACACAGUUUGCUUUGUGUAUUCUCUUUAUUGGCUGAUAACUGAUGUAUGGGAUGGUUUUCCUUUUACAAAUAAAAA